GGACAUACACAUCGCGCGGGCUAACGCGCGGUCGUGGCGGCGGUGGCGAUCCCCAGCCGGAGGCCACCCCGCUGGAAUACAUGGGCGGACGCCUGCCGCGUUGCCGAGCGUGAUAGGAACGCAUCGGCGCUCGCGAGCGGCGAGGCUGCCAGCCCUGGCCCGACCGUCGGGCGGGGAAGAGCGAAUGAUG
rnacentral:misc_RNA from 1 species